UACGAAGGGGGCUAGCGUUGCUCGGAAUCACUGGGCGUAAAGGGUGCGUAGGCGGGUUUUUAAGUCAGGGGUGAAAUCCUGGAGCUCAACUCCAGAACUGCCUUUGAUACUGAAGAUCUUGAGUCCGGGAGAGGUGAGUGGAAUUGCGAGUGUAGAGGUGAAAUUCGUAGAUAUUCGCAAGAACACCAGUGGCGAAGGCGGCUCACUGGCCCGGAACUGACGCUGAGACGCGAAAGCGUGGGGAGCAAACAGG
rnacentral:rRNA from 1 species